GGAUUUUGGCCAUUCUAAUAGAGCAGAAAUGUUUCAUUUUAAUGAAGUCCAGCUUCUCAAUUCUUUCUCUCAUGGAUCAUGCUUUUGGUGGGAACAAAGUUUGUCCUCCUGAUACAAACAAUCUGGAAUGAUCAAUAAGGAACCAUCAGUGGUCAAUAAGGACACAUCCACGGGCUUUCAUUAAAACACUCUGAGUUUUCAAGGACUCCUGGUUGACUAGAGGAGGCCGUGUGGUUCUGAUGAAGCACGAGGCCGUGGAUAUUUGGAGCAGUCACUCUGUGCAGGGUCCAAAGCUGCAGAGCAGAAUGACUCAGGACAGACAGCAGGGGAACUCUA
rnacentral:lncRNA from 1 species